AUGGCUGGACUAGCUUCCCAGAUGAAGAGAUACUGUGACUGCUACAAGAGAUGCGUGGACCAGGACGGAAAGAUGAAGUGUUUCCUCAGACGCAUGACUGCUAAUUUUAGACAUGGCAUGGUCAUACCGAACAAGUUCAUAGAGCAUUUCGGAGGAAAGAUCUCAAGGACCAUCGAACUGGAAUCCCGUAACGACAGCAUGUACACCGUUGAAGUCUCCAAGCUUAUGAAUGAAACAGUCCUCCGGCGGCGUGGAUGGGAGGCGUUUGUCGAUGCGCAUCGCGUCGAGGAGAAUGACUCGCUGCUGUUUCGCCACAUUGAGAAGUCACGUUUCGAGGUCCUGGUGCUCGACUCCGAUGACUGUGAGAAAGUGCUUCCCUCUGCUGGCAUCAAAGUUGCCUCUUGUAAUGUUCAAGAAAGCAGCAGCGUGGAUUAUAUUGAUAUAUCAAGCAGCGUGGGUUAUAUUGAUAUAUCAAGCAGCUCGGGUGAUGAUACCACAAGGUCGCCAGGGAGCCAACGCUUUGCUACGUCUGAAAGAGGCGACUCGAGCCAUCCUAGAAAAACUGCUGUAAUAAACGACUCCUCGUCUGAGGAGGAUUCAGGAGAAGACAGUGACGCUAAGGCAGAGGAACAUUCUGAAGAUGAAUCGUUUUUUGGGCUAGAUGAUGAUUGUCAGACACCUUGCACAGGGCGCGACUAUGUCUUGUCUCCAACGGCUCGUCUGUCUGGAGCUCAGGAGGAGAGAGUAACUAGGCUUCUCCAGGCUGUUCGAGCCGAGACUCCCGUGUUCGUGGCCAUCAUGAAUAUGAGCACACGGAUUCGUACUACUGUGAUCCCCAAGCCUUUUGCAGAGGAGCACUUCCCGCGUGAGAGUCAGAACCUGACGCUGCAGCGGCCAGGCAAGAGCAAGAAGUGGCACCCCUGGUUUUACAUCAGGAAGAGUCAAUGUGGGCACGUCCUCUCCGGGUCUCGCUGGGUAGGCUUCCUCCGUGACAAUGGCGUGCAGGAGGGAGAUCUCUGCGUCUUCCAACCAGUGAGGGGCACUGGCACCAGGAGCAAAUUCACAGUCCAUCUGCUUCACGAACCCUUGGGUGCAAGUGGAACCGGGGACUCGGAGGAAAGAGCAACAAUGGUGAACUCGGCAAAGGCGGCCGGGACACCCCGCGUUAACAAGGAACCAGAUGAUGGGUGCAACCAUGGUCGUCAGACUCAGAGAGCACGGCAGCUACCAAAGCCGGCGCGUCCCUACGUGUUGUCAUCCACCGCACGCCUGACUGAGGAGCAGGAGAGGGAGGUGGACCGGACAGCCCGCGCCAUCGGGUCUCGGGUUCCCGCCUACGUGUCGGUGAUGAACAGGAGCAGCGUCGGCGUGGGCAACAGGAUCUACAACGUAACCAUUUCCGGGGCAUAUGCUGCCGAGUACCUUCCACCCGGGGAGCGGGUCGCCGUGACGCUCGUGAGGAGGAAGCAGUGGGAGGUCGAGAUGCGGGCGAGCACCCCUGGCGGCGGCGGGCGGACGCUGGCGCAUGGCUGGCGCGGUUUCGCCCGCAACAACCGGCUGCGGGUGCAGGACGUGUGCCUGUUCCAGCCCAUGGAGAAGAACCACGGGAGCCUUACCAUGACGGUCCACAUCAUCCGUCACAGCGGCAAGCGGAAGCACUAG
rnacentral:rRNA from 1 species